CAUGUCAUCUCUGUCAGUGCGAAUGUGGAUCAAGGAAUGCUGGCUUACCUAUUUAACUCACUUCAACUGCUGAAAAAAACUGACAGCAAACAGAAGCUUCAUCAGAGGACAGUUUUAAAGCUGCAUCCCAGUUUAACUCCAGUGAAAGUGGCUUUGGAUAUGGGACGAGGCUCUAAUUCAGAGCUAAGACAGUGGCCUCAUCUGCUAUGACUCCAUUCACAUACCAGAUAAGCACGGCACAGCGACUAGAACAGUCACACACCGGACGUGUCAUUCUGUACCCGCAUUCUCAAGUUCAAGGUUUGUGAGGGUUUACUCCAAGAGUUUCUUGAAGUUGGAAUUUCCACAUGGCCUGGAUACUUGGACACAAUGUCAUUAUCUCUGGAGAAUUUACACACAAAGUAUGAUGAGAUGGGUGUCCUCUUCACAGUAGUGGUCAGUGAGAGUACACUAAAAAGUGGCCUUCUGCUGGUCCGUAACAGAGACACCACCAUCAGAGAGACUAUGCACAUCUCAGAAAUCAAAUGCUACCUGCUCAAAUACAUAUCUGCCUCAGACAGUAUAUGACUUUUAUCAUCUGAAUCUCAAUGGAAUACAUAUUGUAAAGAACAUAUUGUAAAGUACUGUAAUGUGGUGAUAUGAUAACUGUUGGGAGUGAUGUAACUGUUACAAAAUUGUUUCUCUGUUUCUGUUUCACUAAAAUGCUAUUAGUGUAUACCAUUAAAACAACAACAAAAAAAAACAUAAGAUUUCAUAUUAAACUUUAUCAUCAGCUGUUC